ensembl:misc_RNA Metazoa_SRP Metazoan signal recognition particle RNA
GCUGGACAUGGUGGUGCAUGCCUGUAAUCCCAGCACUUGGGAGGCUGAGGUGGGAGAAUCGCUUGAAUCCAGGAGGCAGAGGGUGCAGUGAGCCAAGGUCACACCAUUGCACUCCAGCCUGGGUGAUACAGUGAGAUUCCAUCUCAC